AUACCUUCUCGGCCUUUUGGCUAUGAUCAAGUGUAGUAUCUGUUCUUAUCAGUGUGACAACUGAUAUGGAUCCAACUGGAUCCAAACAUGUCACAACAAUUUUUGUUUGGAGAGGAUAGGGGAACGAGCUUGCUCGGACCUUCCUCAAGCGUUGUCCUGCCCUUACACCGAUCGGCGGGGUCGGCGCAUCCAUC
rnacentral:snRNA from 1 species